rnacentral:ncRNA from 2 species
GGGGAAGCCGGUGCAAUUCCGGCGCUGACCCGCAACCGUGAACCGCCCCCCGGGCGGUGAGCCGGACUGCCC